rnacentral:lncRNA from 1 species
AUAAUGUGACUUGUAUUUGGAGAUAAGGCCUCAGGUGUGAGGCUACAGCCCAAGGUCUGGGGUGUCAUCCAGGUAGAUCCAGAAGACAGAGCAUCAAGCCAAAGAGGAUUUUUCUCGAGCUGUAAAAUCUAAAGGAAUUUACCCUGUUAGGUUUUCAACUUGUUUGGACCUGUGGCCUCUUUCUUCUUUCUGAUUUUCCCUUUUGGAAUAGGAAUGUCUGUUAUAUUCCUGUCCCAUCAUUGCAUUUUGGAAGCAGAUAACUUGUCUGAUUUCAUGGAUUCACAGCUGGAAAGAAAUUUUACCUCAGCAUGAAUUGUAGCUUGAGUCUCAUGCACACUUGAUUUAGGUGAGUUUAGAUGAGAUUUUGGAUUUAGAGUAGAUGCUGGAAUGGGUUAAGACUUUUGGGCUGUUGGGAUGGGAGUAAAUACACUUUGCAUGAGAGAAUGACAUGAAUUUUGGGGUCCUUAUGGUGGAGUGUUGUGGGCUGAGUUGUGUCCUCCCCAAAUUCAUUUGUUGAAGCUUUAACUCCCUGCACCUCAGGAUGUGGCUAUUUUUGGAUACAGACUCUUAAAAGAGAUAACUAAGUGAAAAUGAGGCAAUUAGGGUGGGCCCUAAUCUAAUUUGGUUGGUGUCUUUAUAAGAUGAGAAAAUUUGGACACACAGAGAGGCACCAGGCGUGGAGGUGCACAGGAAAGACCUUGUGAGGAUACCGUGAGAAGGCAGCCAUCUGCAAGCCAAGGAGAGAGGCCACAGAAGGAACCAAACCUGAUGGCACCCAGAUCUUGGACUUCUAGCCUUCUGAACUAUAUGAAGACUGAGUAACAGAGAGCAUAUUUUCUUGAGAAAAUCUGUGAGAGUCCUGAGCAUCUGUUAUUUUCCCUGAGCAGCAUUUUCUUUCUUUCCUUGUGGAUUCAACUGUGUGGCAUUUUGCACUAAGAGUAAGACGUCUGGAGUGAGUUGGAAUUUGGAUUCUGCCACUUGUUUUGGGAAACUUUCUUAGCCUCCCUGUGACUCAGUUCUCUCAUCUGUAGAUUAGAUGAAGAUUAAAUAUAUUAAUGUAAUUCAAAACACUCAAAAGAGUGCCAGGCAUUAUUAUUAUUAUUGCAUUUAAAGAUAUUGAGGAAGCAGUAAAUGGUGAGGUAAAAAUCUUAGAACCCAAAAACAAAUACAGGAGCUCUUAAACAGUCCACCUUAAAAAUGUACUUUUUGUGGAGUCCUGGGCCACGUUUACCUUCUUCAGUGAGUAGAUCAAGUGAAGACUACUUCUUAUUGGUUUCAAUUUGGAACACUUUUGAGCCAAGCUUCUCUGUUAGCAUGCAGAGAGCACUUUGCAUUACAAGCACUAGUCUGACAGAUUGCUUUACUCUUUUCAGGUGAUUCAGCCAACCCAUUCGCCCCAGUGCUGACAAAGCAUCAAUUCCCGGACUUCUUGAAGGUGCUGCCAUUAUCUACCAUUUCAGGAAAACAGAGAGCUUAGAGGGAGUAGUGUACAAUUAUUUUCAGAAAUUAGAUGGCUGUAUUUGAAUCUGAGAACCCAAAUUCGUGGAUAAUAUAUAUUUUGUCUCUCUGUGUCUACCUCUGUCUCUCUCUUUCAUAUAGAGCAAAGGGUUAUGGUUGUGAAUUGAAACAUUAUCUAUCACUGGGAACUUUAUGGGGAGAAUUUUAAUAAAUACAUGGAUAUUUCAUGUGUCAUUUAUUGACAAAACAUAGAACUAAAUGAUUAAAACUAAUUUGCAUAGUUUGUGG